rnacentral:misc_RNA from 1 species
GUGAAUCAUCGAAUUUUUGAACGCAAAUUGCACUUUCUGGUAUUCCGGAAAGUAUGUCUGUUUGAGGGUUAGUUAAAUAAAAAUCGGUGUUGUUGUUGCUUUUCGUGGUGACGCGUCGGAAUUGAGUUGUCUUACUUUUGGUUAAGUGACUUAAAAUUUUGUAUGAUUUUUGAACGUAUUUAAAUUUCUUACGUACGUUUGAGAUAUCGUAUAUGUUAUUAGGUUUGUU